CACGUAGGGGGCGAGCGUUGUCCGGAUUUAUUGGGCGUAAAGCGCGCGCAGGCGGUUUCUUAAGUCUGAUGUGAAAGCCCACGGCUCAACCGUGGAGGGUCAUUGGAAACUGGGGAACUUGAGUGCAGAAGAGAAGAGCGGAAUUCCACGUGUAGCGGUGAAAUGCGUAGAGAUGUGGAGGAACACCAGUGGCGAAGGCGGCUCUUUGGUCUGUAACUGACGCUGAGGCGCGAAAGCGUGGGGAGCAAACAGG
rnacentral:rRNA from 1 species